GCUACCGUUGUUGUUACAAAUGCGAGUGCGGUAGUGUGACUGGCGAAAAAUGGCGCUUAGGACCUGGGAAGUUGAAGUUUUUAAUGUGACAGAAGACAUUGUUUGCACUCCAAAAUAUAACAAAAAAGUGAAACUUAGAGCCGAUUAUGAUCCACAAGGAAUUAGCAUUAAAUUACUCGACGGUGACGACUCUCACGUUUUAUCAGAAUUUCCCAUUAGUUCGUCUUCGGAGUGCUGCCGCGUGGGGCCUAAAUCCUACAUAUUUUCCUUUGAUAACGAAGCCCUGUUGUUCAAGUUCGGCUCCAUUGAAGACGCGAGGAGCUUUACUAUUGCUAUAACAAAGGUCAAGUCUGGGAAAGGUGCUUCGGUUUUUUCGGUUAGGACCGAAGACUCGUCCGCUACUCAGUAUUUCCAGUUUUAUGGCUACUUGUCACAGCAACAAAACAUGUUACAAGACUUUGUUAGGACGUAUACGUAUCAAAGAGCAAUAUUAUGUAACUUAGACGAUUUUAAGGAUAAAGUCAUUUUGGAUGUUGGUGCCGGUUCUGGCAUUCUAUCAUUUUUUGCUGCACAAGCUGGCGCUAAGAGGAUUUACGCCGUCGAAGCGUCCACAAUGGCACACUUUGCGCAGAAAUUGGUGGAUGCUAACAAUUUGUCAGACUCAAUUAAAGUAAUUCCGGGUAAAAUAGAAGAAAUUGAACUUCCAGAAAAAGUAGAUGUAAUUAUUUCCGAACCAAUGGGUUACAUGCUUUACAACGAGAGAAUGUUGGAGACUUACUUGCACGCGAAAAAGUGGCUGUUGCCAGGCGGGAAAAUGUACCCCUCCCGGGGGGACCUGCACAUAGCGCCGUUCACCGACGAUUCCCUCUACAUGGAACAGUACAGCAAAGCGAAUUUUUGGUUUCAAACGUGUUUCCAUGGGGUUAACUUGUCCGCGAUUCAAAACUGCGCCGUGAAGGAGUACUUUAGACAACCAAUUGUUGAUACUUUCGAUAUUAGAAUUUGCAUGAGCAAGUCGAUUAGACACGUUGUAGAUUUUUCGGAAGCUCAUGAAACCGAUCUUCACACUAUAGAUAUUCCCUUGGAGUUCCAUAUUUUAGAAUCGGGGACUUGUCACGGCUUGGCAUUUUGGUUUGAUGUAGCUUUUGCCGGUUCGCAACAAACCAUAUGGCUUAGUACCGGUCCAACCGAGCCUUUAACGCACUGGUACCAGGUUAGGUGCUUACUAGAACAGCCGCUUUUACUUAAACAAGGCCAGGUUUUAACCGGUCGAGUACUACUCGUAGCUAAUAAAAGACAAAGUUACGACGUUACUAUAGACUUAGCAGUUGAAGGAACAAACCAAAGUUCGAAAAAUACCCUAGAUUUGAAAAAUCCAUACUUUAGAUAUACCGGAGCGCCAGUACAACCCCCUCCCGGAAUUUCAAACGUGUCACCAAGUGAGAACUACUGGAGUCAAUUGGAUGCUCAAGGUGUUAGGAAUGCUGUGAAUAUGGUGAACGGGAUGUCGGUGAACGGCUUGGGCGAAGUGUCAAUGGAUACCACGCAGACCAUCAUUAACAGCAACAUGAUGGCCAACAAUCUCAUAGCUUUAGUGGAUCCUUCUCAUUUAUCAGAACCGACUCAGCCCAAUAUCCAUCCAGGUUGUAUUUCCAGUACCGGCAGAGGGCGCGUUGCUGCUAGUCCAACGUCAACUCACACAGCUCAGUUAAUUGGUGGAGCGAUUUCGCCGUCGUUAUUCACCUCACCUAAUCCACAACAGUUGUCAAAUAAAGAUGAGUGAAUAAGCGGAAAGGGGAUGGUUUUAGUUAAUGGUGUCGGGUGGGGUUUGAUGCAUCAACAACCUCUAGUGAUGACAAAUUACCCGGUUAGUGCUAAUUUAAUGAUCGGAGACUAUGUUACCCCCGGAAAUGGAGUAGCAAUGCCUGCAUAUCGCCAGUAGUGUGUAAAUCGGCACUGUCAUGCUCAAAAACUGUUAAAAAAUUCGAUAAUGGUCGCAGACAAUUAAUUUACAUGUAUAUGUUUGAUUUAACUACUUUAUUGUUUCGAAUCGUGUUUGAUUUUUGUGUAUUUUUAUUAUUGCUUUAUCAUGUGAUUUGUAUAAACAAGUGCGGAGAUGUUUUUCGAGAUACGCAUUUUUUGUUUGCGAAAAAACAUCUUUCUGGGAUUUAGUCCCAUGCCUUAGCUUAUCAUGAAUGCGGCAGGGAGCAACUUUGUAUUAAACAAUCGCGAUUUUUAGUAUUUAUUAUGUCAUUUAGUUGAAAUUGUGCAUCACUUAAGCAAUAAAUUUUAUGCCUUUUUAAAAUGUUUUCUGAUUCGUUUCGUGUUCUUGCAUCACUCUUGUAUUACAAUGUGACAAUAGUAAUUUAAUUGUAUACACUUAUCUCUAUAUAGCAACAUUGCAUAUCUUUCUUUGACGUCCUCUGUCGUUCGACUUAGUUUAUUUAUGUUUAGUAGUGUAGUGCGUUUGUAUGAUCUGUAAAUUUUUCAAAUUUAGUUUAAGAAACAGGUAUUUUUGGAUAUAUUUUAAUGUCAUAUCAACAAGGCAUGAUGUAUGACAUAAUUGGCAACUGUUUUACGAAGUGAAACUUAUUUUAUUGUGGAUGUUGCUAUUUUGUCUGUGAUAUUUUGGUUAAACACGUUUCCUGAAUUAAUUUUAUUGUAGAUGUAGGAAAUACAGGAUAGUUUGUUCGCCUACCGUGUUUGUAUAUUUAUUCUUUAAUGUAAUCUCUUCAUUUUAAAACGAAUCCCUUGUGUUGCGUUUAUCAAGUGCAUCUGAUAUUAUAUGCAAUGAAGCAGUCAUUGUUUACGUUAAUAGGCAAUGGAGCAUAUUCUGCCUUACAAUACCACGUGCAAUGGCAGUGUAAUGAAAGCCUAGUUACAUAUAAUAAUGCUUCAUGUAUACCAUAGGAUAAAUUGAUCUGUACAUUGGAUUCAUUAAGAACAAUAUAUUGUACCACUUUUGAA